GAUGAACGCUAGCUACAGGCUUAACACAUGCAAGUCGAGGGGUAACGAGAGGGAAGCUUGCUUUCCUUGUCGACGACCGGCGCACGGGUGAGUAACGCGUAUCCAACCUGCCCCCAACUAGGGAAUAACCUUGCGAAAGUAAGACUAAUACCCUAUAAUUUCCUCAGAUGUCAUCUGACGAGGAAUAAAGAUUUAUCGGUUGUGGAUGGGGAUGCGUCUGAUUAGCGUGUUGGCGGGGUAACGGCCCACCAAGGCAACGAUCAGUAGGGGUUCUGAGAGGAAGGUGCCCCACAGUGGACCUGAGACACGGUGCAAACUCCUACGGGAGGCAGCAGUGAGGAAUAUUGGUCAAUGGGGAGGAGCCUGAACCAGCCAAGUAGCGUGCAGGAUGACGGCCCUAUGGGUUGUAAACUGCUUUUAUACAAGAAUAAAGUUAGCCACGUGUGGUUAUUUGUAGGUACUGUAUGAAUAAGGACCGGCUAAUUCCGUGCCAGCAGCCGCAGUAA
rnacentral:rRNA from 1 species